GAUGGAUUCUGAGACACGAAUCCAGGCCCUACGGGGGCGCAGCAGGCGCGAAAACUUUACAAUGCGGGAAACCGUGAUAAGGGAACUCCGAGUGUCCGUAAAUUCGGACUGUCCGUAUGUUUAAAAAGCAUGCGAAGAAAGGGCCGGGCAAGACCGGUGCCAGCCGCCGCGGUAAUACCGGCGGCUCGAGUGGUGGCCACUAUUACUGGGCUUAAAGCGUUCGUAGCUUGGUUGUUAAGUCUCUUGGGAAAUCUAUCGGCUUAACCGAUAGGCGUCCAGGGGAUACUGGCAAUCUAGGGACCGGGAGAGGUGAGGGGUACUUCAGGGGUAGGAGUGAAAUCCUGUAAUCCUUGGGGGACCACCUGUGGCGAAGGCGCCUCACCAGAACGGCUCCGACAGUGAGGGACGAAAAGCUGGGGGAGCAAAACCGGAUUAGAUACCCGGG
rnacentral:rRNA from 1 species